UCCUGCUGAAACAACCUGAGCUUGCCCACAGACCUGAAGUUUUUCAAAUAAGACAGCUUCUCCUCGGGGGAUACUUGGUAAGCUGUGACCAAACCCCUGCAAGCUGAACACUGAGUAUUUUGAUUUUCCACAGUGGUAAUGCCAUGAGCCUGAGCCACAAGAUUAUACAGGAGCAGGAGGAAACCCUUCCUGGAGAAGUGGCCUCUGAAGAGAUGGUUGCCUUACGUGUCAGCACAGCCAACCAGGACUCAAAGCUUACUUCAGCCAACACACCUAAACUACAUCCCAGAAUUUCGUCCAGACUGAGAUGUGGCAUACCAUACCUCAGGUGAAAAGCAGAUCCAAGACACUGACAUCAGCUCCUGGAGCUGGUACCAGAGUAAUAUUGUACAGCAGCACAGGUGAUGUCACUGAGGGCAUCCCACUGCUCCUGCACCGUGCCUAGGAGCCUUGAGGAAGGUAUCAGUUCAUAGCUCUUCCCCACCGCAAGACACAGGUCUGCAUCCUGCUUUUCUGCAGCUUACACUAAAGUGGCUGUAGGAUUUUUUUAAGGUUUAUCACUGCUGUGAAAACAGGCAAACUCUCCAUUGCUAGGCAAACAAAGCAGAAAGCAGUGACUUACAACACACCUUUUGCCCCAGAAGGCAAAAUGUCCGUGUCACAGGAAUUCCUGCUCUGCCUCAUCAUUAUAUCUAUGUAAUGCCAACCAAGAAUAACAUCUUCAGCACAGUGGUCCAGAAAAAAAUAUAUGUGAUUAAAAAAUACCCUCACAGUGAAGUACAACAAACAUGCCAUUUUUGUACACAGAAAAGUUUGAUCUGCCAGGAAAGAUACACACAGCACAAGCUGUUAUCCUUGCACUCAGUUCUGAAGAAAUCUCCACUGCAGGAAGACCAGAAUCUUCAGCUGGAGCCAAAGAUAAAUUCUGUUUGGUCUUGACUCAAAAAGUCUACAGGACAAAGUGUCCUGUACUGGUGCGGUCCUCCUGAUUGGAGAGAUGUGAAGACAUCCUUAGUUUAAUUAGAUCAACCUCUGUAAGCCAAAGAAAUUCCACCACCAUCUGAUCUUCGGAGGAGGGAAAUUUUACAUUUAAUGGAUAUAAAAGGAUACAUUUUCCAAGCAACAUAUUACAUUCUUCCUCCUGAAUGAUAGUUUCUCUUUCCUUUGCCUCUUCAGAAGCACUAGCUAGAAGACGGACAAUGAUGCUGUUAAAUCAUCUCUGAGUCCUGCCUUGUUUUUACAGCAGGAUCACACUGACAGCUCACAUUCAGUCUGUGUUCUUCUACAACCCCCACAUGUUUUUCUGAAGUACUGCUCAGACAGUUAUUUUCCAUUCAUAUAAAGAUCACAUGUUCACAGGGUUUUUAAUUCUGUCCAGCUAGCAUGGCAUUAGGAAUUCAACUUCUGAAGUGCAAAGUGUUCACCUGUCUUUUAUCAAACUUUAUCUCACUGAUUGCAGAUCUUCUCUCCAGUUCAAGAGAUCAUGCUGAAAUCACUGCUUUCAAAGUUCUUGUAAUGUGGCCCCACAAAUUAAAUAGCAUGCCACUUGCUAUUUAAUAUGUCCAAUUUAGUAACAGAAAUUUGAAAUUGUGAUUGAAAUUGUGAAGAUGGAUCCUUGAAGAUGGAUUCUAAAGCCUUUCCAGUUUGACAGUUGCCAGCAAACUACUGGUAACAACUAUUUCUAUUUUAUUUUUCUAAUAAAGAUACAUAAGGAAGGCAUAUCCAGUAAGGCUUUGGGUUUGCCUGGUUUAGAGAAAAGGAGGCUGAAAUGUGACUUCAUUGCUCUCUACAGCUUCCUGAGGAGGGGAAGUGGAAAGGGAGGUGCUGAGCUCUUUUGCCUAGUACCCAGUGACAGGAAAUGUGGGAAUGGUUCAAUGCUGCACCAGGGGAGGUUCAGACUGGAUGUAAGGAAGCAUUUCCUUACCAAGUCAGCAGCCAAACAAGAGGUGGUCAAUGCCCCAAGCCUGUCAGUGUUAAGAGGCAUUUGGACAAUGAUCUUAACAACAUGCUUUAGCUUUUGGUCAGCUGUGAAGUAGCCAGACAGUUGGCCCAGAUGAUCAUUGUAGAUACCUUCAAACUGAACUAGUCUGUUCUGUUCUAUUCUAUUCUACUCUAUUCUGUGCUAUUCUGCAUUUUUAACAAUAGUCUAACCUGUGCUAUCAUUCCUGACUUGAUUGUGAGUCUGUCACCUGGGGCAGCACCACAACAUCUUCUGUCAAGGCAUACCACACUGACAAUGUGCCCUGAUUUAAAGGGCACCUGACCUACUAUAGGAGAAAGUUUGGUUUAACUUGAUAUAAUCUCCCAAAGUAGCAACAAAUGUAUUGGCAGCACUGAAAUAUCUCCACAAAAUUUUGGUUUCACGCAGCAUUUGCUCUUGAUGGCUUUUGAUAGUCAGACUGCUUUACAGUGAAUGCUUUGGUGGAAGCACAGUUUUGGAUUUUGACCAUGUCCAUUCUAUAGGUGCUUUAAAUGGUAGGACAGAGCUGGAGAAAAACACAUUAUGCAUUUGGCUGCCCACAUGAUAGCUACUCGUUCUCACUCCCCAUCUCAGAGGCCACCACAGGAAUGUCCCCACAAAAAGGUGAGCAGCUGUCCUGUACAAUACCUGUGGCUACUGCAGGCCAGCAAUGAGCACAGUGAUUCUCAUCCCAACAUUCUUCAACCUCACAUCAAAACCCACCAAGAAAAUAUGCCUAAAAAAAAAAAUGUAAGCUUGGUUAUUUUCCCAUGCUGCACCACUUAAAGGCAAAAUGAUUUUCCUUUCCCGUAACAGAUGGAAAUAAUUCCUACGGUUUCCAUCUGUUAGUGAGUGACACUGCCCUGAUAAUGCACAAAACCACUCCAAGACAGAGGCAUCGAUUGUACUGAGAAGCACUUCUUAGCAAAUAAAAAUAAAAAAUGUUUCCCAUUUUUAUGAUAUAAUUAGAGCAUGAGGGGAAGUGGUUUCUAGUCCUGUUCUGUGAAUUAGCUUUUUCCAUUUUCUGCUUGAUUCAGGGAUGCUUGGGAAGCUGUUAGCAUGCAGAUAACUAAAAAGACAGUCAUUCCAAUUUGAUUCAAUAUGAUGCCUAAUUCUCAGAGAAGAAGGAAGAAGCUGCUUAGAGCUUUCCCAGAUGUCAAGUUGCCAUUUUUCCUGCCCACAUAUUUUGAAACCCUUAUGACAACUGUUUCAGAUGUUUGCAAUAACAAAGCCAAGGCCAAUAACAAAUUCGGCCAUUGGCCAGUGUUAAAACACACCAGACUCUGAAAAUUCCACCUACCUGGUUAUGCUUUAAUUCCUUCUGCCCCAGCUCAUGGUGUUACUGAAGACAAUCAAAGGCUUGCCAGCCAAAUCUACAUGGAGACCAGGAGAAGAAAGUUCUUUCUGAGCACUUGAGCACAGAGGUCUCCCAGCAGUUUAUAUGUCCACCUAUUUUUGGAUGGUUUUUUUCCACCACCUUACUUAGAAACUGCAAAUUGCACCAAAAACCUUGGAAGUUUUUAAUUUGCUUUAUAGCUGGGGAAAGACAGAUUUUUUUUCUCUGAGGGGGUCACAAGUUCUGACAGCAAGCCUGCUCCAGUGUGGGUUUCUCACAGGGCCACAGCCUCCUUUGCACAUCCACCUCUUCCAGCAAGGAGUCCUCCAGGAGCUGCAGGUGGAUCUCUGCUCCCCUGUGCACUUCCAUGGGCUGCAGGGAGACAGCUCCUCCACCAUGAUCAUCACCAGGGCUGCAGGGCAACCUCAGCUCCAGCACGUGUCCCUCCUUCUGCACUGACCUGGGUGUCAGCUCCUUUCAUGUAUCCUCACUCCUCUCUCUGCAGAAGUAUCUUUCCCUCUUUUUAAAUAUGUUAUCGCAGAGUGACUGCUGGGCUUAGCCUUGGGCAGUCGUGCAUCCAUCCUGGAACUGGCUGGCAUUGGCUCUGUCAGACAUGGGGAAGUUUCUGGCAGCUUCUUACAGAAGCCGCCUCUGUAGCCCUCUGUCACUACCAAACCUGACCUUAAAAACCAAACACGCUCUUUGUGCAGCUGCUGGUCCCUUUUUUCUUUGAAAAGAUACUAAAUAUUUUUUGUAGUAAUUUGUUCUCAAUUUUUCCAAAGUGGGGAUUUAGUGAGAAGGAAUUUAAGACAGUUCAACUCUCAGUGAUCAAAGGCUGGCCCCAUGACCCCCACACUGCAUUUGGAGUUCAUGGCAGCCUCACAGGAUCACAUAACUUGUAGGCACCACAGGGACACUCCCUGUUCACUUUGUGCACAAUGUGGGCAAGAUCUGAUCCACUUUACUCGGGAAACAGUUGCUGAAAGUGUGCCUUCAGUCUCUGCCAGCAGGUACCCAAUGCCCCAUCUGCUCAUGAAGCUCAGUGAGUCUUCAGACACAUCACUUUUCCAUCACCUGCUCUUUCGUCAUUGCCUUUUCCAUGAGCAAUUUCCAGCCUUUCCAGGGAGCUAUUGGGUCUGUUUGCCAUCUGUCCUUCUCCCUCCCCUGAGAACACUUGGACAAUGUUUCAUUUACUGUUUUUUUUUUUUUUAAGUAAGUUGAACAUCUUUUGGUAAUAAAUUGCUCUUGGUAUCCCUCGGAGCCACUUACAUCUCCUUUGGUGACCUCUUGCUCUUAAUGUACACUUUUGCCAUUUCAUUGGUCCACAUCUGACGCCAGAACAAGUCAUGAUCCUGAGUCAUGAUCCUAUUAUUCUUCAGGAGAGUGGUUACUAUUAGCCAGGAUUUUUCCCCUUAGCAUUACUCUUUUCUCAUUUACAUUCUUUUUUUCUAUGUGUGUGUGUGUUCUCCGUUUCAUUCCUUGAUGUUUCCCAUCUUUACUU